GACACCUCUUCAGUUGUGUCCCUAAAGGUCAAAGUCUCAGUCAAGACACGCAGAGGUGAAGUCCUGCUCCUCUGAAGGUCCAGCCUAAUCUGUCUUUAACAGCCACCGGGGGCAGCACCUCACAGACGGCAGACAUCAGGCAGUGGUGAGGACGGCGCUGCGCUGGGGCAUCGUGUCGGCUGGCUUAAUGGCCAGCGACUUUACCACCAUGCUGAGCUCCCUGCCUCCCUCGGAGCACCAGACAGGAAUAUCGUCCCUAGCCGUCGUGGAGGAGGCUCUAGCCUCGCUGUUUCAGCCUCUUCCCAUGCUUGCCUCCCAUCUGCUUUAUCUCCACAAUGGUCCCACCUCAAGCCUUUGAAUCUGACACCAGGUGGUGGCAGUGGCUGCGAGGGACCUGAACAGGGCGAAGGCGUUUGCCCAGAAGUACAACAUCCCCGAGGCAUGUGGUUCCUACGUGGAGCCAGCAAAGGACCCAGACGUGGGUGCACCUGACGCCGGGCGGUGGUGGCACACGUCUUUAAUCCCAGCCCUCAGGAGGCAGAGGCAGGCAGAUCGCUGAUCUACAGAGCGAGUUCCAAGACACCCCCCCCC